rnacentral:rRNA from 1 species
CCUGUCAGCGAUACGUAUAGAUCGAUAGACAUGCGAGUCGGAGGAGUCGUAUGACUCGCGCAUGUCAGUACACGUGGAUAACAUACCCUAAAGUGGAGCAUAUCUCCGGAAAGCUGAGGAUAUACUCCAUAGGUCACGAGAUCUGGAAAGACUGUGGCUCAAGUCCCGGCGCUUAGGAUUGGUCUGCGGCCUAUCAGGUAGUAGUGGGUGUAACGGACCACUAGCCGAUGACGGGUAUGGGCCUUGAGAGAGGGAGCCCAGAGAUGGAUUCUGAGACACGAAUCAGGCCCUACGGGGCGCAGCAGUCGCGAAAACUUCACAAUGGAGGCAACUCCGAUGAGGGAAUUCCUAGUGCCAAUGCAUUUUGUGUUGGCUUUUCUUCAGCGUAGAUAACUGUUGGAAUAAGGGCUGGGUAAGACGGGUGCCAGCCGCCGCGGUAAUACCCGCAGCCCAAGUGGUGGUCGAUAUUAUUGAGUCUAAAACGUUCGUAGCCGGUUCAAUAAAUCUCUGGGUAAAUCGGAGGGCUUAACCUUCCGAAUUCCGGAGAGACUGUUGAACUUGGGACCGGGAGAGGCAAGAGGUACUUCUGGGGUAGGGGUAAAAUCCUGUAAUCCUAGAAGGACCACCGGUGGCGAAGGCGUCUUGCUAGAACGGAUCCGACGGUGAGGGACGAAGCCCUGGGUCGCAAACGGGAUUAGAUACCCCGGUAGUCCAGGGUGUAAACGCUGCAGACUUGGUGUUGGGAACCCUUCGGGGGUGCUCAGUGCCGGAGAGAAGUUGUUAAGUCUGCUACUUGGGGAGUACGUCCGCAAGGAUGAAACUUAAAGGAAUUGGCGGGGGAGCAC